ensembl:ncRNA lncRNA:CR40947 long non-coding RNA:CR40947
GAUAGCAGCUGGAUCAGUUAGUUCAUCGGGAUCAAGGGCAACGAGUUCCUCUGCCACGUGCCUAUCGACUACAUUCAGGACUCAUUCAACCGGACGGGCCUCGAGUUCUUCACCCAGACACUGGACGUGUUCCUGAAUCUGGUGUUCGACCGUUCUAUGGACUGGGUCUCCGGUGAUGAGGAGUACGGCAUGAUUCACGCCCGAUACAUCGUGUCGAAGCGUGGCGUGAAUUAUAUGCGUCUAAAGUAUGAGAAUUGUGUCCAAAGAUCUCCUGUAACUGUCAGAAAACCCUGCCAGUGCGCCUCAGCGACGUGUGGGGAAAGUCCAACGUGAAGAUCUACUGCCCUC